ACGAACGCUGGCGGCGUGCCUAAUACAUGCAAGUAGAACGCUGAAGAGAGGAGCUUGCUCUUCUUGGAUGAGUUGCGAACGGGUGAGUAACGCGUAGGUAACCUGCCUGGUAGCGGGGGAUAACUAUUGGAAACGAUAGCUAAUACCGCAUAAAAUUGAUUAUUGCAUGAUAUUUAAUUAAAAGAUGCACCUGCAUCACUACCAGAUGGACCUGCGUUGUAUUAGCUAGUUGGUGAGGUAACGGCUCACCAAGGCGACGAUACAUAGCCGACCUGAGAGGGUGAUCGGCCACACUGGGACUGAGACACGGCCCAGACUCCUACGGGAGGCAGCAGUAGGGAAUCUUCGGCAAUGGGGGGAACCCUGACCGAGCAACGCCGCGUGAGUGAAGAAGGGUUUCGGAUCGUAAAGCUCUGUUGUAAGAGAAGAACGGGUGUGAGAGUGGAAAGUUCACACUGUGACGGUAUCUUACCAGAAAGGGACGGCUAACUACGUG
rnacentral:rRNA from 1 species